rnacentral:rRNA from 1 species
GACGAACGCUGGCGGCGUGCUUAACACAUGCAAGUCGAACGGUAAGGCCCUUCGGGGUACACGAGUGGCGAACGGGUGAGUAACACGUGGGUGAUCUGCCCUGCACUUCGGGAUAAGCCUGGGAAACUGGUCUAAUACCGGAUAGGACUCCGGACUGCAUGGUCUGGGGGGGAAAGCUUUUGCGGUGUGGGAUGGGCCCGCGGCCUAUCAGCUUGUUGGUGGGGUGAUGGCCUACCAAGGCGACGACGGGUAGCCGGCCUGAGAGGGUGACCGGCCACACUGGGACUGAGAUACGGCCCAGACUCCUACGGGAGGCAGCAGUGGGGAAUAUUGCACAAUGGGCGCAAGCCUGAUGCAGCGACGCCGCGUGAGGGAUGACGGCCUUCGGGUUGUAAACCUCUUUCAGCAUCGACGAAGCGAAAGUGACGGUAGGUGCAGAAGAAGGACCGGCCAACUACGUGCCAGCAGCCGCAGUAA